rnacentral:tRNA from 1 species
UCCCUAAUAGCUCAGUUGGUAAAGAAUCUGCCUGCAAUGCAGUAUACCCCGGUUCAAUUUCUGGGUUGGGGAG